GAUGAAGAACGUAGUGAAAUGCGAUAAGUAAUGUGAAUUGCAGAAUUCAGUGAAUCAUCGAAUCUUUGAACGCAUCUUGCGCUCCUUGGUAUUCCGAGGAGCAUGCCUGUUUGAGUGUCAUUAAAGUUCUCAACCACAUUACUACAUAUGUGGCUUGGAUGUGGGGGUUUGCAGGCUUUCUCUGAGGUUCUGCUCCUCUGAAAUGCAUUAGUGGUAUUCCUGAGCUUUACUACAGAUGUGAUAAUUUAUCUACAUCCCAAAAGUAUGCUUCAGCAACACCGCUCCUAACAAGCGAAAGCACAUUUUGAUGAAUUUGACCUCAAAUCAGGUAGGACUACCCGCUGAACUUAAGCAUAUCAAUAAGCGGAGGA
rnacentral:misc_RNA from 1 species